UUCGUGUGAACAGUGGUUGAUCACGAGUUAGUCGGUCCUAAGUUCAAGGCGAAAGCCGAAAAUUUUCAAGUAUUUCAAAAAUCAUAUAUAUAUUUGUAAUCACUUUGACUUUUCAAGCACUUGAAUAAUUUUGAACGAAAGGGAAUACGGUUCCAAUUCCGUAACCUGUUGAGUAUCCGUUUGUUAUUAAAUAUGGGCCUCGUGCUCAUCCUGGCAACAGGAACGACCAUAAAGAAGCCGUCGAGAGAUAUCGGAAGAGUUUUCUUUUCUGUUUUAUAGCCGUACUACCAUGGAAGUCUUUCGCAGAGAGAUAUGGUAGAUGGGCUAGAAGAGCAUGACAUAUACUGUUGUGUCGAUAUUUUCUCCUCGGACCUUGAAAAUUUAUGGUGGGGAUACGCAAACUUCUCAACAGGCCGUACCAAUAUCCGCAGCUGGUCUCCAAGGUGAAGAGUCUCUAGUCGAUAGAAUA
rnacentral:rRNA from 1 species